GUAGUCCACGCCCUAAACGAUGCCAACUAGGUGUUGGGGAAGGAGACUUCCUUAGUACCGAAGCUAACGCGUGAAGUUGGCCGCCUGGGGAGUACGGUCGCAAGAUUAAAACUCAAAGGAAUUGACGGGGACCCGCACAAGCGGUGGAUGAUGUGGAUUAAUUCGAUGCAACGCGAAAAACCUUACCUACCCUUGACAUGCCCGGAACCCUGCUGAGAGGUGGGGGUGCCCGAAAGGGAGCCGGGACACAGGUGCUGCAUGGCUGUCGUCAGCUCGUGUCGUGAGAUGUUGGGUUAAGUCCCGCAACGAGCGCAACCCUUGUCGCUAAUUGCCAUCAUUUAGUUGGGCACUUUAGCGAGACUGCCGGUGACAAACCGGAGGAAGGUGGGGAUGACGUCAAGUCCUCAUGGCCCUUAUGGGUAGGGCUUCACACGUCAUACAAUGGUCGGUACAGAGGGUUGCCAAGCCGCGAGGUGGAGCGAAUCUCACAAAGCCGAUCGUAGUCCGGAUUGCAGUCUGCAACUCGACUGCAUGAAGUCGGAAUCGCUAGUAAUCGCGGAUCAGCAUGUCGCGGUGAAUACGUUCCCGGGUCUUGUACACACCGCCCGUCACACCAUGGGAGUGGGGUUCACCAGAAGAGGGUAGCCUAACCGCAAGGAGGGCGCUCGCCACGGUGAGCUUCAUGACUGGGGUG
rnacentral:rRNA from 1 species